rnacentral:rRNA from 1 species
CCAGACUCCUACGGGAGGCAGCAGUAAGGGAUAUUGGUCAAUGGGGGAAACCCUGAACCAGCAACGCCGCGUGAGGGAAGACGGUUUUCGGAUUGUAAACCUCUGUCCUCUGUGAAGAUGAUGACGGUAGCAGAGGAGGAAGCUCCGGCUAACUGCGUGCCAGCAGCCGCGGUAAUACGUAGGGAGCGAGCGUUGUCCGGAUUUACUGGGCGUAAAGGGAGCGCAGGCGGCGCGCCAAGUCUGAUGUGAAACCCCGGGGCUCAACCCCGGGCAUGCAUUGGAAACUGGCGGGCUGGAGUGCCGGAGAGGUAAGCGGAAUUCCUAGUGUAGCGGUGAAAUGCGUAGAUAUUAGGAGGAACACCAGUGGCGAAGGCGGCUUACUGGACGGCAACUGACGCUGAGGCUCGAAAGCGUGGGGAGCAAACAGGAUUAGAUACCCGUGUAC